CCUACGGGUGGCAGCAGUGGGGGAUAUUGCACAAUGGGGGAAACCCUGAUGCAGCGACGCCGCGUGUGGGAAGACGGUCCUCUGGAUUGUAAACCACUGUCCCCAGGGACGAAGAUGACGGUACCUGGGGAGUAAGCUCCGACUAACUCCGUGCAAGCAGCCGCGGUAAUACGUAGGGAGCGAGCGUUGGCGGGAAUUACUGGGUGAAAGGGGAGGGUAGGCGGGUAUGCAAGUUGCGUGUAAAAACUACCGGCUCAACUGGUAGGCGCACUCAAAACUGCAGCUCUUGAGUGAAGUAGAGGCAGGCGGAAUUCGUAGUGUAGCGGUGAAAUGCGUAGAUAUUAGGAGGAACCCCAGUGGCGAAGGCGGCCUGCUGGGCUUUUACUGACGCUGAGGCUCGAAAGUGUGGGGAGCAAACAGGAUUAGAUACCCGAGUAGUC
rnacentral:rRNA from 1 species